UACAGAGGGUGCGAGCGUUGUUCGGAAUUACUGGGCGUAAAGCGCGCGCAGGCGGCCCUUUAAGUCUGUCGGUCAAACGCCGGGGCUCAACCCCGUGCUCGCCGGAGAUACUGGAGGGCUGGAGACACGCAGAGGCAAGCGGAAUUCCGGGUGUAGCGGUGGAAUGCGUAGAGAUCCGGAAGAACACCGGAGGCGAAGGCGGCUUGCUGGGCGUUGUCUGACGCUGAGGCGCGAAAGCGUGGGGAGCGAACAGG
rnacentral:rRNA from 1 species